GUUCCCGGCGCCUCCAUGCGCCCAGGCGCUGCCGGGGGCUGUUUGCCAGGUACAGAAGCCAGGCGGCCUUGAUCCGAUUCAGAUUAUACAUAUCUACAGUUUUAAAAGUUUUCUGAUUGAUUCUGACUACAACACAGACACUCAGAGUGAGACAGUCUGGGCAUGUCUCCUGAAGAAUACAUAGGAAAGCAAAUUCAGGCCACAAGAGUUGGGGACAGAUGAAAGAGGAGAAGAUCCAAAAAGAUGCAAUCUCUACUUCCAGCCAUUACAGUUCCUCAAUGUAUGAGAACAUUCAUCUCUAAUUCAGCUGCCAACUGAGCCUUUCAGUUACUGGAUUGACAGUGAAGGCUCUAGCUACAAAGGGAAAGAAGUAUAUUGGAUGACACCACUCAGCUGCAAAGAGCCAGCAAAAGUUGGGGAGACCAGAAGAAUAGAGAGUACUUCUCAGAACAACCCUUGCUAGCACCAGCAGCUUGUCCUACAGAAAAAGAAAGGAGCAUAAUGUGGUUUCAUUUUUCUCAAAUGUCAGUGAUAGCAACAACCUCCCAUUCCAGAGCCAGAAGGGAAGCAUAUUUAGGAACCAGUAAAUAGAAACCUAAUCAAGAAGGGAAGAUAAAACAAGGAAUAAUGGGAGAAGUCCUAGAAUAAGAGAAACAAGUCUGACUUCUGGCAGAAAAGAGAUGGGAUUGUUAAGUGAGAAGGAAGAGAAGUGUUAUUGGAGACUAGGGGCCUUUGU